rnacentral:tRNA from 1 species
AACCUCUUAGCUCAGCUGGUAGAGCGUGCGUGGUCCAAAAUCGUAGGCGGCGUCCAUGCUUGGGUUCGAAUCCCAACGAGGCUA